rnacentral:rRNA from 1 species
UACGUAGGGUGCGAGCGUUGUCCGGAAUUACUGGGCGUAAAGGGCGCGUAGGCGGCGUGGUAAGUCACUUGUGAAAUCUCUGAGCUUAACUCAGAACGGUCAAGUGAUACUGCUGUGCUAGAGUGCAGAAGGGGCAAUCGGAAUUCUUGGUGUAGCGGUGAAAUGCGUAGAGAUGCGGAGGAACACCGAUGGCGAAGGCAGCCCCCUGGGCUGACACUGACGCUCAGGCACGAAAGCGUGGGAGCAA